ensembl:lncRNA
CACGUGACUCGGCUCGGAGGACCCGGCACCAUGGAGACCGCCGACGGUUCUCCUAGAAGGGCCCCGCCCCCACCGGAAGGCGAGGCGGGGACGCCUCUCGGGGAGGCGCGGGCGUCCCUUAGAGGCCUACACUCUCUCCGCGGAAGGCGGGCGUCUCUAUGGAGGGGUCCAAGGGCAUGGUGUGAAGUACCUGCUCCUGACAGCCUUGGCUCGCAAUCCUGUGCAUGCUCAUUACCUACCCUUCUGAGUGGACUGUAUCUGGAAUCCACAAAGAAAGAGAAAGCUUUUGAGGACAAUUGUAGCAAGGCACCAGAGUUUGGCUCCAGCACAUUCUAUUAGCGCACUUCAGUUGCUCUGCNACAAUCCUGUGCAUGCUCAUUACCUACCCUUCUGAGUGGACUAUAUCUGGAAUCCACAAAGAAAGAGGAAGCUUUUGAGAGGCACCAGAGUUUGGCUCCAGCACAUUCUAUUAGCGCACUUCAGUUGCUCUGCUCACCCUCCCUGAUCCCAGUGCAGGACCUGCAUCUUGCUCAUUGUCUCCACCAUCACGUUGCCUUGGAUCCUUUGCCGUUCUCAAGAAAUCGUUCAGACUUCUUGGGUUCACAUGGAGCUCCUGACCUUUGCUUCCAGACCCCAUGUUGGGCAGAUGAAAAAGGCCAGAGGGGAGAGGAGGACUGGACAAAGCAGACACAGCAUCGAUGUUUGCCUCAUGCUUCUUUUUUCCAUCCUCACGCCUUCUUCCUAGAACCUCCUGCCCUUUCCACAGAUGAAGCUCCAGAAGUGCCCAUCACACUACUGAGGACUAACAUAUUCUCAUCCCAAGGCAGCUUUUCACUUAAGAUCGAGCCAGCCAAUAUUGACUAUGAGCUAUGUGUCUCCUAAGGGUCAGGGAUACAGUAAAGAAUAACACAGUUUCUACCCCUGAGCUGGUCACAGAUGGGUUCUGUUAGGUGAUAUGAUGAGGACUGGAACACAAAAGAGCAGUGAAUUCAGGUAGCGGGCGGGAGUUCAGGAAAAGAUGUGCAGAGAGCCAGUAAACUAGACCUGGGAGGCUGGCAGAUAAGGGAGGUCUCUCUAUCUGCCUUUGGGAAUGGGCCAAGAGCAGAGCGUCUGUUCCCUUCAAUGUUAGGAAAUCCUUUAUGGCUCUGAUCUAAAUCCUUUCCCUUGCAGUUUACUUUGUAUUCCCUCUCAUUCCGAUGUCAGGUGAAAUAGCAAAAAUCUUUGCCUAAUAACCUAAUUACUCAGAAGCCUCUAGCACAUCAUAUCUGGUGCUGUACUCUAACAUAGGAAAAACUCCUCCCACCCCAAAACCCUGCAGCUAGACUUCUCCAGCCACUACCCUAGAAAGAGUUUCUGAGUGGUGUCCCCCUACUAGGGCUCUGCCUGGAAGGUGGAGGGAGACCAGGCAAUCAGCUACUGGGGACUCUGCCCCAGAUAACCGCACUUGAAAGAGUCUAUACUAGAAGCAUGUUUCGUGGCAUCUUUACUAAAGACAGAUUUUUUAAAAUGUUUUAUUUAUUUAUUUAUUUGAGAAAGAGAGAGAGAGGCAGAGACACAGGCAGAGGGAGAAGCAGGCUCCAUGCAGGGAGACCGACAUGGGACUCAAUCCUGGGUCUCCAGGAUCACACCCCAGGCUGCAGGUGGUACUAAACCGCUGUGCCACCAGAGCUGCCCUAAAGACAGAAUUUUUGAAGUUAAGUGACUCAGACAAAUAAAGUCCAGUGUUUCACAGCA